GAACUCGAGGGGAAGGAGACACGGAUGAAAAUCCACGAGGGGCUGGGUUUGGGUGGGUUCCCAUCCCUUUCCCACUGGCAGGUGCCAGCCUGCCCAGGGGGAACAGGAGCUCUUUCCUUGGUGGCAGCCUCAAUUCUCACCCCAAAUAAUCCCAAAUUUUUGGGUUUUCUGCCCAGAGGGAACAGGAGCUCUCCUUGGUGGCAGGGCAGCCUCAAUUCUCACCCCAAUCCCAAAUUUCUGGGGUGCCUGCCCAGGGGGAACAGGAGCUCUCUCUCCUUGGUGGCAGCCUCAAUUCUCACCCCAAUCCCAAAUUUCUGGGUUUUCUGCCCAGAGGGAACAGGAGCUCUUUCCUUGGUGGCAGGGCAGCCUCAAUUCUCACCCCAAAUAAUCCCAAAUUUUUGGGUUUUCUGCCCAGAGGGAACAGGAGCUCUCCUUGUUGGCAGUGCAGCCUCAAUUCUCACCUCAAUCCCAAAUUUCUGAGGUGCCUGCCCAGGGGGAACAGGAGCUCUCUCUCCUUGGUGGCAGCCUUAAUUCUCACCCCAUAAUCCCAAAUUUCUGGGGUUUCUGCCCAGGGGGAACAGGAGCUCUUUCCUUGGUGGCAGUCUCAAUUCUCACCCCAAAUAAUCCCAAAUCUCUGGGUUUUCUGCCCAGGGGGAACAGGAGCUCUCUCUCCUUGGUGGCAGCCCUCAAUUCUCACCCCAAUCCCAAAUCUCUGUGUUGCAGAUUCUUCAGGAAACAGGGAUAAACUCCAAACGAGGAGAUGGCAGAGUUGUGA
rnacentral:lncRNA from 1 species